rnacentral:pre_miRNA from 1 species
AGCUUUCCGAAUCCGUGCUGGGAUUUCGUCAGGUACCAACCCAUUACUGCUGAUCAGGCUUCUAAGGUAAGUGAAGUU